rnacentral:rRNA from 1 species
CCUACGGGAGGCAGCAGUGGGGAAUAUUGGACAAUGGGGGCAACCCUGAUCCAGCCAUGCCGCGUGUGUGAAGAAGGCCCUCGGGUUGUAAAGCACUUUCAGUGAGGAAGAACGCCUGGUGGUUAAUACCCAUCAGGAAAGACAUCACUCACAGAAGAAGCACCGGCUAACUCCGUGCCAGCAGCCGCGGUAAUACGGAGGGUGCGAGCGUUAAUCGGAAUUACUGGGCGUAAAGCGCGCGUAGGUGGCUUGAUAAGCCGGUUGUGAAAGCCCCGGGCUCAACCUGGGAACGGCAUCCGGAACUGCCAAGCUAGAGUGCAGGAGAGGAAGGUAGAAUUCCCGGUGUAGCGGUGAAAUGCGUAGAGAUCGGGAGGAAUACCAGUGGCGAAGGCGGCCUUCUGGACUGACACUGACACUGAGGUGCGAAAGCGUGGGUAGCAAACAGGAUUAGAUACCCUAGUAGUC